CCUACGGGUGGCUGCAGUCGAGAAUAUUCCCCAAUGGCCGAAAGGCUGAGGGAGCGACGCCGCGUGCGGGAAGAAGGCCUUCGGGUCGUAAACCGCUUUUACCAAGGAAGAACCAUGACGGUACUUGGAGAAUAAGAGGUUGCUAACUCUGUGCCAGCAGCAGCGGUAAUACAGAGACCUCGAGCAUUAUCCGGAUUUAUUGGGCGUAAAGGGUCCGCAGGUGGCUGUUCACGUCAACGGUUAAAUUUCAGGGCUCAACUCUGAAACCGCCGUCGAUACGGUUCAGCUCGAGCAUGGGAGAGGUACGCGGAAUUACCGGUGUAGUAGUAAAAUGCGUUAAUAUCGGUAAGAACACCAAAUGCGAAGGCAGCGUACUGGAACAUUGCUGACACUCAGGGACGAAAGCGUGGGGAGCGAAAGGGAUUAGAUACCCCUGUAGU
rnacentral:rRNA from 1 species